GGCGGGCAUAGUAGAAGUCUGACGAGCACGCCGCGUGAGUGAAGAAGGUUUUCGGAUCGUAAACUCUGUUGUUAGAGAAGAACAAGGAUGAGAGUAACUGUUCAUCCCUUGACGGUAUCUAACCAGAAAGCCACGGCUAACUACGUGCCAGCAGCCGCGGUAAUACGUAGGUGGCAAGCGUUGUCCGGAUUUAUUGGGCGUAAAGCGAGCGCAGGCGGUUUCUUAAGUCUGAUGUGAAAGCCCCCGGCUCAACCGGGGAGGGUCAUUGGAAACUGGGAGACUUGAGUGCAGAAGAGGAGAGUGGAAUUCCAUGUGUAGCGGUGAAAUGCGUAGAUAUAUGGAGGAACACCAGUGGCGAAGGCGGCUCUCUGGUCUGUAACUGACGCUGAGGCUCGAAAGCGUGGGGAGCAAACAGGAUUAGAUACCCUGGUAGUCCACGCCGUAAACGAUGAGUGCUAAGUGUUGGAGGGUUUCCGCCCUUCAGUGCUGCAGCUAACGCAUUAAGCACUCCGCCUGGGGAGUA
rnacentral:rRNA from 1 species